GACGUAGGGCGCGAGCGUUGUCCGGAUUUAUUGGGCGUAAAGAGCUCGUAGGCGGCUUGUUGCGUCAGCUGUGAAAACCCGCAGCUCAACUGUGGGCUUGCAGCUGAUACGGGCAGGCUUGAGUUCGGUAGGGGAGACUGGAAUUCCUGGUGUAGCAGUGAAAUGCGUAGAGAUCAUGAGGAAGACCAGUGGCGAAGGCGGGUUGCUGGGCUGACACUGACGCUGAUGCGCGAAAGCCAGGGGAGCGAACGGG
rnacentral:rRNA from 1 species